rnacentral:lncRNA from 1 species
AACAUCAAUAUGAUUGGUCAAAUCGAAAUCCAGGGUCAUACGCCAGGCGCAUUAGAUGUGCAAUAGUAGAUGGGAUCUAGUGCCGGGGUCGGGAUUUUUGCCGUAUGCGUAUGCUUCGGUAAAUGAGCCGUAACUUUUCGGUACGAUCUCGGAUCGGGGCGAUUUUUAUACGAAAAUUGAUCUACAGAAAAAGUUACAUAUAAAUUUCAUCGGCUUUGCCGUUUUUGGCGAGAUUAGAUUUCCCAAAUUCGGUACGCCUAACUCUGUUUUGCAGGAUGUAUGUAUGUAUCUUGUGAUUAGUAUGACCCCAUUGUGUAUGUGAUGCAUGUGUGUAACUCAUUCGUGACCUGCGUGUCACACGUACGGCAACACGGCAGGAGCCAUAUGUGUUGUCACUUUAUUGUAUUUAAUGGUCUGCGUACCAAUCUGUGAUGAUCCAAGCAACUAUGUAAUCUUCA